UGGUAUUCCUUGAUCUUUCGGUACAGAAGU
rnacentral:piRNA from 1 species